rnacentral:lncRNA from 1 species
AAGACUCACUAGCAUAGAUCUCUUCCACAUAGCAUAAUUUGUUCCAUCUAAGACUUUUGGAACAAGAAUCAUGCUAGGAUGAUCAGAAGCAUGAAGAAAAAGAGGGUCUGAGGAAUCAACUGUAGACAUAGACAUAGUGUGAUGAGAGGUUUGAGAAGAUAUAUGAUUUGGUGAAUGAUUGUGACUGCUAUCACUAUCAAUAUCAAUAUCAUCCAUAAAAAAA